AAUAAGUACAAGUGAAGGCUUAACUGAUUGGGAGACUUAUAUUUCUAUAAGGUCUUCAAGGUGUACGCGCAGCUACGGAAAUUUCAACAAGAGAAUCACCAUUAUCCCCUGUUCUCUUACUGAUAUCGUACUCUAGAGGCAAAGGAAAGCAAGAAGAAUAGCAAUGGUGUUGACGAUGGAGAAUCGCAACUUCUUUGUGGUGGAUAUCGACGGUCCAUGUGCAGCAUUCAGCCCAGUUGAUACGAGCAGGGGUCAAAAUGCAGAACGAAUGACAUGGGGAUUUGUUUAAUUUUAUCGAGUUCUGUACUGAACUUCCACCCCAUUUCACAUAGUUUUGAAAGUGUGUGUGUGUGUGUGUGCCCGCGUGUGUAAAUAGGAUUGAAAGUAUGGUUGUAUAUAUGUAGUAAUAGAAUUGUAAACAUUGUAGUAAUUAUGUGUAACUAGAAUUGUAAACCUGCGGCAUGGCGCGGGCUUUUUAGUUGUUGUGUACUACAAGACAGAAGAUCAAAUGGCAGAAGUUCUGACAAAGGCACUGUCAAAGGACAAGUUCACAUACUGCAUAGGAAUGAUUGGUGUGAAAUCAGCUACAAGCUUGGAAGGAAGUGUUAGGAUUUAAGCUUUGAAGCUGAUUACACUUUGUUCAAUUUCUGUAUUUUGUGUUCUUGUUCUUAUUUUGUAAUGAAGUGCUGAAACUAGAACUAGCUAUAGGCUAGAUUAGUACCAUCUGUUAUAAACUUAUAGCAGAUGAGAUUGUUAAGUUGUACAUGUCGUCAAUAGAGCUAGUGGGAUUGCAACAGUUACUUCCCCUCUCU